UACGUAGGGUGCAAGCGUUGUCCGGAAUUAUUGGGCGUAAAGAGCUCGUAGGCGGUCUGUCGCGUCGGAUGUGAAAAUCCAGGGCUCAACCCUGGACCUGCAUUCGAUACGGGCAGACUAGAGUUCGGCAGGGGAGACUGGAAUUCCUGGUGUAGCGGUGAAAUGCGCAGAUAUCAGGAGGAACACCGGUGGCGAAGGCGGCCAACUGGACGAACACUGACGUGAGACUCGAAAGCGUGGGGAGCAAACAGG
rnacentral:rRNA from 1 species